GGCGGCUGUAUGGAUGAUGCUUUUGGAAGAGAUGAGGCAACAAAGCCACAAAGAGGCCAUUGUGAAAUCCAAGUAGAACAGAAAAUGAAAUUCUCCAGUUCCACAGAAGCAAGCUGGCCCCAGAGCAGAAACUUUUCUUCACUGAAAGUAGAAAUGUCAGCUGAACACCCUGAGCUAAAAGUUUCCUUAGAACCAGAUUUGAAACCAAGAAGCAACUCCAGUCUCUGAUGACUCAAUGAAG